AUUGAACGCUGGCGGCAUGCUUUACACGUGCAAGUCGAACGGUAACAGGCCGCAAGGUGCUGACGAGUGGCGAACGGGUGAGUAAUGCAUCGGAACGUGCCCAGUCGUGGGGGAUAACGCAGCGAAAGCUGCGCUAAUACCGCAUACGAUCUGUGGAUGAAAGCGGGGGACCGAAAGGCCUCGCGCGAUUGGAGCGGCCGAUGUCAGAUUAGGUAGUUGGUGGGGUAAAGGCCCACCAAGCCAACGAUCUGUAGCUGGUCUGAGAGGACGACCAGCCACACUGGGACUGAGACACGGCCCAGACUCCUACGGGAGGCAGCAGUGGGGAAUUUUGGACAAUGGGCGCAAGCCUGAUCCAGCAAUGCCGCGUGCAGGAAGAAGGCCUUCGGGUUGUAAACUGCUUUUGUACGGAACGAAACGGUCCUGGUUAAUACCCGGGGCUAAUGACGGUACCGUAAGAAUAAGCACCGGCUAACUACGCGCCAGCCGCCGCUGUAACAC
rnacentral:rRNA from 1 species